CCUACGGGUGGCAGCAGUGGGGAAUAUUGCACAAUGGGGGUAACGCUGAUGCAGCGACGCCGCGUGAGUGAGGAAGGAUCUCGGUAUUGAAAGCUCUAUCAGCAGGGAAGAAAAUGACGGUACCUGACUAAGAAUCCCCGGCUAACUACGUUCCAGCAGCCGCAGUAAUACGUAGGGGGCAGGGGUUAUACGGAUUUACUGGGUGUAAAGGGAGCGUAGACGGUUAAUCAAGUGAGAAGUGAAAACCCAGGGCUCAACCUUGGGACUGCUGUGGAAACUGGGUAGCUUGAGUGCAGGGGAGGUAAGCGGAAUUCGUGGUGUAGCGGUGAAAUGCGUAGAUAUUAGGAGGAACCCCAGUGGCGAAGGCAGCUUACUGGAGUGUAACUGACGUUGAGGCUCGAAAGCGCGGGGAGCAAACAGGAUUAGAUACCCUAGUAGUC
rnacentral:rRNA from 1 species